AAUUUUUUUAUUUCAUUAAUUUUGUAUGUAGCAAAUAAAUAAAUAAAUAAUAACAAAGAAUGAAUCCAAUAUACAACAAUUUUCCAUCGUCUCUCUCUCGCUCUCUCUCUCCCAACAAAUAUUAAUUUAAUCAACCAAAACUCCUCCCAACUUGAAAAGUCAAGUGAAACAACAGAUUAAUCAAUGUUUCAAGAAACCAA